UCUUAAUGCCAAGUGCGGUAUUAAAUCCAACAGAAACAAAGCAAAUUCUAGCACCACCUAGAUAUCUCUAAUUCCAUUUAAGACCGUGUAUAUGUACGAAUCUCAUAUUCCUGGCAAAAAUCAGCAAAUUGCAGUGGUCUACUUGGCUCAUCCUGCGCAUUCCAUUUGGCCAUGCAGCUGGGUGUAGCAACUCAAAAGCCCAAAAGGACUUUCAGCCACUUGCGCAAAUCAAAUAAGCACGCAUUUCACUUGUGGCACGUAAAGGGAAUUUGAGUGAGGGUACGUGAGCAUAGCCAGGAAAUUAAGUAAAUGAGGUGGGCGAUAAAAGAACACACAUUUAUGCGAGAGUGGAAAAUGAUACACAGGAAUGAUGGACAGGAAAUUCGGUAGGAAAUCGCUGCACCCAUUUGAGUUGCCGCCGCCAACAGAAACCUUGACCCAUUAACCAAAGUUUGCCCGAAAAC
rnacentral:misc_RNA from 1 species